UACGUAGGGUGCAAGCGUUGUCCGGAAUUAUUGGGCGUAAAGAGCUCGUAGGCGGUCUGUCGCGUCGGCUGUGAAAUCCCGGAGCUCAACUCCGGGUCUGCAGUCGAUACGGGCAGACUGGAGUUCGGCAGGGGAGACUGGAAUUCCUGGUGUAGCGGUGAAAUGCGUAGAUAUCAAGUGGAACACCAGUGGCGAAGGCGAGUCCCUGGACAACUCCUGACACUGAGGCACGAAAGCUAGGGGAGCAAACAGG
rnacentral:rRNA from 1 species